rnacentral:lncRNA from 1 species
UGAUCUUGAAAUUUCAUGUUACAGUUGUAAGACAACUGUGACCGACAGUCAUUUUUUAGCUGCAUAUCAUUUGAAUAUUAUCUGGAACUAUAAGGGCCUUUAUAUUUAUUUUUUGGUGCUUGGGAAUUUUCCAGGAUUUGAAAGAUUAGGAGAAAUCUUGUAACUUUUGCCAACUUGGCCUUAUCAACUCUUUUCCAAAAUGAAAUUUUGAGAAAUACUUCUGUCCCAUACAAG